rnacentral:snoRNA from 1 species
GCAUGGGUUUGGAUUUAUGACAGGCCCGUCCCCCUGGGCCUGUCGUAGUAACCCAUGCCAGAGCAAACUGUGUCCCCAAACCAUUGCCUGGCCUCUGUGCCCGUAGGCUGCUGGCGCUGAAGUGGCUUGCACAGUG